rnacentral:rRNA from 1 species
UUGUACACACCGCCCGUCGCUACUACCGAUUGAAUGGCUUAGUGAGGCCUUCGGAUUGAUGAUUUGAUGCCGGAAACGGCAAUGAGUCGUCGAAAAGUUGGUCAAACUUGGUCAUUUAGAGGAAGUAAAAGUCGUAACAAGG